AGAGUUUGAUUCUGGCUCAGAACGAACGCUGGCAGCGUGGAUUAGGCAUGCAAGUCGAACGUGAAGCCGUUGAACAAUCUUUCGGGAGAGUGAUUCGGUGGAAAGUGGCGGAAGGGUGAGUAACGCGUGGGUGAGCUGUCUCGAAGUUGGGGACAACCAGAUGAAAAUCUGGCUAAUACCGAAUGUGGUCUUCUGGCGCAUGUCAGGAUGACUAAAGGUGGGGAUUCUUCGGAACCUGCCGCUUUGAGAGGUGCCCGCGUGCCAUCAGCUUGUUGGUAGGGUAAUGGCCUACCAAGGCUUACGGCUAGCCGGCCUGAGAGGGUGAUCGGCCACACUGGGACUGAGACACUGCCCAGACUCCUACGGGAGGCUGCAGUCGAGGAUCAUUCGCAAUGCGCGAAAGCGUGACGAUGCGACGCUGCGUGGGGGAUGAAGGCCUUCGGGUCGUAAACUCCUGUCAUGAGGGAACAGUAUCCCUGUAAUUAAUAGUUGCGGGGCUCGAUGGUACCUCAAGAGGAAGCCACGGCUAACUCUGUGCCAGCAGCCGCGGUAAUACAGAGGUGGCGAGCGUUGUUCGGAUUUACUGGGCGUAAAGGGUGCGUAGGUGGUUUUGUGUGUCGGAUGUGAAAUCCCAUGGCUCAACUGUGGAAUUGCAUUCGAAACUGCGGAACUGGAGUGCAGGAUGGGAGAGCGGAAUUCUUGGUGUAGCGGUGAAAUGCGUUGAUAUCAAGAAGAACACCGGUGGCGAAGGCGGCUCUCUGGAAUGCUACUGACACUGAGGCACGAAAGCUGGGGGAGCGAACAGGAUUAGAUACCCUGGUAGUCCCAGCCGUAAACGGUGCACACUUGGUGUGGGGAGAUUUAACCCUCUCCGUGCCGGAGUUAACGCGUUAAGUGUGCCGCCUGGGGAGUACGGCCGCAAGGCUAAAACUCAAAGAAAUUGACGGGGGCCCGCACAAGCGGAGGAGCAUGUGGCUUAAUUCGAUGCAACGCGAAGAACCUUACCAGGGCUUGACAUGGGGACCCUUCGGGGGUGGUAGCGAAAGUUACCUUUACCAUCACAGGUGCUGCAUGGCUGUCGUCAGUUCGUGCCGUGAGGUGUUGGGUUAAGUCCCGUAACGAACGCAACCCUUGUGGCUAGUUGCCACCGGUGGUGAUGAGCCGCCGAGCACUCUAGCCAGACUGCCCGUACAAGCGGGAGGAAGGUGGGGAUGACGUCAAGUCAGUAUGGCCCUUACGUCCUGGGCUGCACACGUGCUACAAUGGUCGGUACAGUGGGAUGCAAUACCGCGAGGUGGAGCAAAUCCCCAAAGCCGCCCUCAGUUCGGAUUGAAGUCUGCAACUCGACUUCAUGAAGUUGGAUUCGCUAGUAACGGCGCAUCAGCUACGGCGCCGUGAAUACGUUCCCGGGCCUUGUACACACCGCCCGUCACAUCAUGAAAGCCGUCUGCACCCGAAGUCGCUGAGCCAACCAUUUAUGGAGGCAGGUGCCGAAGGUGUGGGUGGUGAUUGGGAUGAAGAC
rnacentral:rRNA from 1 species